ensembl:lncRNA novel transcript
AGAGGGACAGCAACCACAGAGCACUGCAGACGCCAAGACAUGAGAUCCUGUGUUUCCUUUAAAGGCCCGGUUCUAAAGUCAUCUCUCGUGUGAUGCCUCCCCUGAGUCGCCAGGGACGGCCGCUCUGUUCCCGGUCACUUUGUGCAUGUAUAGCAUCAUCACACAGUGCUGUAGCAUAUGCAUCUGUGUGAGUACACAUCUGUCUUCUCCGAGAUUGCGAGUGCCUUGGGAAGAAGCACCGAGUGUUCUUCAUCUCAGUCUCCCCUGUCCCUUGUACGGUGUCUGGCUGAAGCUAGAAAGUCAGAAAGUGCUGGUCAAAUGAAUAAUUCAUUGAGAAUGGAUGAAUGGGCGUCCAGGACCCUUCCUCACUUUGAAAUCUCUGUGGCAGUGGGUUACAUAGGUUUAAGAACAUUGAUCAGAGUCUUGGCCUAGUUAAAUUGAUCUGAUGGUCUCACCAUCCAAACGGCACUUACCUUCCAAAGCUGUGCUUUCUCUGAGAAGCUGUCUCCAUUCCAUCACUAUGGAGGAUCGUGCAUGAUGAAAAAGAGAUACUAACAGGAAAACAGCAUCAAUCAGUUGUGGAGCCUGAACCGAAGACCUGAGUGAGAUGGAUAAAGUGAGGAAGGAGAUAAGGACCCCCCACCUGACCUGUCAGGCCAACCCUGGAGGUCAGUGGAGUGAAAGAUAAGACGGCCAGAUUACUCACAUCUGAGGGCAAACUCAUUUAAAACUACAGUGGGCAAAGUUUAGGUUAGAGCAAUUAAUUCCCACAGGAGGGUCCCAGAACUGGUAGCAUGGAAGUCAGAUCAUAGGAUUUCCUUUUCUGCAGUUCUUAGAGAGGCUACCACUUCUCUCCUCCUCCCCCCCAACCCCCACACCCUUCAUCCAUGUCAAGUAUGUCAAGUGGCUGUGGGGCUAUCCUUCCUGGAGGCAAAGGGAGAGAGGCUGGGACCUCCAGCAGCCAGGGCUUCUGGGGCUCUCCCAGCAUCCUGCUGCCAAGAUACUGGGCAGACCACCAGGGACUGCCUUCUCCAAGUCCCCAGUCCAGGCACAGCGGUGUCAGUCAUUAAAGCUCAUUUCUUCCUGU